rnacentral:rRNA from 1 species
GAAACCGUUCAGGGGUAAACCUGAGAAACCCAAAAGAUCGAAUGGGGAGAUUCAUCGGCAACGGCGCUGGGUCCCGUUGGUCCGCGAUGCUCCGAGUGGGGUCCACCGUGGUCCCACGGCGAGGGCACGCGACCUUCGGCUCGAACGUUCCGGCAACGUAGUCGUGCACUUCUCCCCUAGUAGAACGUCGCGACCCGUUGUGUGUCGGCCUACGGCCCGAGUGGGUGCCUGUCGCGUCGCAAGUUGCGCGCGCGGCAGACCCUCGGUUGCCCGGCCGGCUGCACGACGGUACUCGCACGGUAUCGGGCCGCAACCAGAAAAAAAAGCCCUCACUGGUUACAGUGGGGGGGGAAAUGUGUUUGCGUCAGGCACGCCGCAAGCUCGGUCAGCAAAUUACUCGGAGGUACGGACACUGCGCCGUCGCCAGGGCUGACCAGCUGUUAGCAGGCGAUUGUCCUCGGACUGGCCAAGCUUCGAAUUACCGGUCGGCGACGCUAUUGCUUUGGGUACUCUCAGGACCCGUCUUGAAACACGGACCAAGGAGUCUAACAUGUGCGCGAGUCAUUGGGAUGUAUAAACCUAAAGGCGAAAUGAAAGUGAAGGUCGGCCUUACGCGUCGACCUAGGGAGGAUGGGUCGCGUUACCGAGCGGCCCCGCACUCCCGGGGCGUUUCGUUCUCAUUGCGAGAAGAGGCGCACCUAGAGCGUACACGUUGGGACCCGAAAGAUGGUGAACUAUGCCUGGUCAGGACGAAGUCAGGGGAAACCCUGAUGGAGGUCCGUAGCGAUUCUGACGUGCAAAUCGAUCGUCGGAACUGGGUAUAGGGGCGAAAGACUAAUCGAACCAUCUAGUAGCUGGUUCCCUCCGAAGUUUCCCUCAGGAUAGCUGGCACUCUAACGUUCCUACGUGGAACGAGUUGUAUGAAAGUCUCAUCUGGUAAAGCGAAUGAUUGGAGGCCUUGGGGCCGAAACGACCUCAACCUAUUCUCAAACUUUAAAUGGGUGAGAACUCUGGCUUG